AAAAGUUCAAUCCAUCUUAAAUAAAUCAAUAUAGUGCUUUUCAUCAAAUUGGAGGUGAUGGUGUUAAGGUGAAAAUUCUGGCAGCUUUAUUUAUAAUCAGAGACAGCUAAAAAUCUUCACUAUGUUUUUUUUUCUUUUUUUUUCCUUUUCUUCUUUCUCUUCUUCCCCUCUCUUCUUCCUCAAUCCUUUCUCUUUCUCUUCUAUCCUGUUCCCUACGACAGCAUUAAACUCAGUAGCGUACAAGCGCUCCACGAUUCUGUCUCUCUGACGCUUUAACUCGUCGUCAUGGUUGACGAGGGCAUCACGAUGGCGGCGUCCAUGAAUGCCCAAAUGUCGAUAUUCGUGCUCUUCAGUAUGGAUAAGAAAUCCUCCGCAACUGAAAAAUGAAAUUCAACCGAACGAAUGCCAGGGUGAUAGUGGAGGGCAUGGUGGCUCGAUGGGGCUCACUGAUGGUGGUGGGGAGGGCGCACGGUAGCGCGACGACGUCGGAGUCACGUCGGGGUUGCAGGACGGCGCCAGAGUCACGUCGGGAUUGCGCGACGGCAUGGAUCGGAGCCUUGGUGAUGGUCGCGCAGAAGAGAGAAACAAGCGCGAGGACUGGGGAAGGAGAGAGGGGAGGAAGAGAAAGGGAAAAAAAUGAGAAAAAUAUAAUUACAGUUUUUAGCUGUCAUUAUUUGCAAAUGAAAAUGCUAGAAUUUGC
rnacentral:lncRNA from 1 species